rnacentral:rRNA from 1 species
CCUACGGGUGGCAGCAGUGAGGAAUAUUGGUCAAUGGGCGCGAGCCUGAACCAGCCAAGUAGCGUGAAGGAUGAAUGCCCUACGGGUUGUAAACUUCUUUUAUAAAGGAAUAAAGUGAGGCACGUGUGCCUUUUUGUAUGUACUUUAUGAAUAAGGAUCGGCUAACUCCGUGCCAGCAGCCGCGGUAAUACGGAGGAUCCGAGCGUUGUGCGGAUUUAUUGGGAUUAAAGGGAGCGUAGAUGGGUUGUUAAGUCAGUAGUGAAAGUUUGCGGCUCAACCUUAAAAUGGCAAGUGAUACUGUCAGUCUUGAGUAUAAGUGAGGAAGGCGGAAUUCGUGGUGUAGCGGUGAAAUGCUUAGAUAUCAGGAAGAACUCCGAUAGCGAAGGCAGCAUACU